CUUGGUCAGGACGAACGCUGGCGGCGUGCCUAAUACAUGCAAGUCGAACGGUCUUUCUAUGGAAGCUUGCUUCCACUGAGAAGAUAGUGGCGAACGGGUGAGUAACACGUGGGUAACCUGCCCAUAAGAGGGGGAUAACAUCCGGAAACGGGUGCUAAUACCGCAUAGUUUUCUUGAUCGCAUGAUCGGGAAAGGAAAGACGGCCUUUGUGCUGUCGCUUAUGGAUGGACCCGCGGCGUAUUAGUUAGUUGGUGAGGUAAUGGCUCACCAAGACGAUGAUACGUAGCCGACCUGAGAGGGUGAUCGGCCACAUUGGGACUGAGACACGGCCCAAACUCCUACGGGAGGCAGCAGUAGGGAAUCUUCCGCAAUGGACGAAAGUCUGACGGAGCAACGCCGCGUGAGUGAAGAAAAGGGUUUUCGGAUCGUAAAACUCUGUUGUCAGAGAAGAACAAGUUGGAGAGUAACUGCUCCAGCCUUGACGGUAUCUGACCAGAAAGCCACGGCUAACUACGUGCCAGCAGCCGC
rnacentral:rRNA from 1 species